rnacentral:rRNA from 1 species
GACGAACGCUGGCGGCGUGCUUAACACAUGCUAGUCGAACGGAAAGGCCCUGCUUUUGUGGGGUGCUCGAGUGGCGAACGGGUGAGUAACACGUGAGUAACCUGCCCUUGACUUUGGGAUAACUUCAGGAAACUGGGGCUAAUACCGGAUAGGAGCUCCUGCUGCAUGGUGGGGGUUGGAAAGUUUCGGCGGUUGGGGAUGGACUCGCGGCUUAUCAGCUUGUUGGUGGGGUAGUGGCUUACCAAGGCUUUGACGGGUAGCCGGCCUGAGAGGGUGACCGGCCACAUUGGGACGGAGAUACGGCCCAGACUCCUACGGGAGGCAGCAGUGGGGAAGAUUGCACAAUGGGCGGAAGCCUAAUGCAGCAACGCCGCGUGCGGGAUGACGGCCUGCGGGUUGGAAACCGAUUUCGCCUGUGACGAAGCGUGAGUGACGGUAAUGGGUAAAGAAGCACCGGCUAACUACGUG